CAGUCGCCACGGGAAUACGGAGGGUGCAAGCGUUAAUCGGAAUUACUGGGCGUAAAGCGCACGCAGGCGGUCUGUCAAGUCAGAUGUGAAAUCCCCGGGCUUAACCUGGGAACUGCAUUUGAAACUGGCAGGCUAGAGUCUUGUAGAGGGGGGUAGAAUUCCAGGUGUAGCGGUGAAAUGCGUAGAGAUCUGGAGGAAUACCGAUGGCGAAGGCAGCCAUCUGGCCUAAUACUGACGCUGAGGUACGAAAGCAUGGGGAGCAAACAGGAUUAGAGACCCCUGUAGUCCCUGUCUCUUAUAC
rnacentral:rRNA from 1 species